GAUGAACGCUGGCGGCGUGCCUAAUACAUGCAAGUCGAGCGAACGGACGAGAAGCUUGCUUCUCUGAUGUUAGCGGCGGACGGGUGAGUAACACGUGGAUAACCUACCUAUAAGACUGGGAUAACUUCGGGAAACCGGAGCUAAUACCGGCUAAUAUUUUGAACCGCAUGGUUCAAAAGUGAAAGACGGUCUUGCUGUCACUUAUAGAUGGAUCCGCGCUGCAUUAGCUAGUUGGUAAGGUAACGGCUUACCAAGGCAACGAUGCAUAGCCGACCUGAGAGGGUGAUCAGCCACACUGGAACUGAGACACGGUCCAGACUCCUACGGGAGGCAGCAGUAGGGAAUCUUCCGCAAUGGGCGAAAGCCUGACGGAGCAACGCCGCGUGAGUGAUGAAGGUCUUCGGAUCGUAAAACUCUGUUAUUAGGGAAGAACAUAUGUGUAAGUAACUGUGCACAGCUUGACGGUACCUAAUCAGAAAGCCACGGCUAACUACGUG
rnacentral:rRNA from 1 species